CUAUUACUCCCUCCGUUCUGAAUUACUUGUCUUGAAUUUGUCUAGAUACGGAUGUAUCUAGACUUAUUUUAGUGCUAGAUACAUCCGUAUUUAGACAAAUCUAAGACAAGUAAUUCGGAACGGAGGGAGUAUAUG
rnacentral:pre_miRNA from 1 species